rnacentral:rRNA from 1 species
GGGGGGGGGGGGCUAAUACAUGCAGUCGAGCGAAUGGAUUAAGAGCUUGCUCUUAUGAAGUUAGCGGCGGACGGGUGAGUAACACGUGGGUAACCUGCCCAUAAGACUGGGAUAACUCCGGGAAACCGGGGCUAAUACCGGAUAACAUUUUGAACUGCAUGGUUCGAAAUUGAAAGGCGGCUUCGGCUGUCACUUAUGGAUGGACCCGCGUCGCAUUAGCUAGUUGGUGAGGUAACGGCUCACCAAGGCAACGAUGCGUAGCCGACCUGAGAGGGUGAUCGGCCACACUGGGACUGAGACACGGCCCAGACUCCUACGGGAGGCAGCAGUAGGGAAUCUUCCGCAAUGGACGAAAGUCUGACGGAGCAACGCCGCGUGAGUGAUGAAGGCUUUCGGGUCGUAAAACUCUGUUGUUAGGGAAGAACAAGUGCUAGUUGAAUAAGCUGGCACCUUGACGGUACCUAACCAGAAAGCCACGGCUAACUACGUGCCAGCAGCCGCGGUAAUACGUAGGUGGCAAGCGUUAUCCGGAAUUAUUGGGCGUAAAGCGCGCGCAGGUGGUUUCUUAAGUCUGAUGUGAAAGCCCACGGCUCAACCGUGGAGGGUCAUUGGAAACUGGGAGACUUGAGUGCAGAAGAGGAAAGUGGAAUUCCAUGUGUAGCGGUGAAAUGCGUAGAGAUAUGGAGGAACACCAGUGGCGAAGGCGACUUUCUGGUCUGUAACUGACACUGAGGCGCGAAAGCGUGGGGAGCAAACAGGAUUAGAUUUUUUUGU